rnacentral:misc_RNA from 1 species
GAAGAAAUAGAGAGCAUAGGGAAAGCGAAAACACAGAAAAGCAAAGGCAUCUCCUUUUCCUUCCUACUGUCUUUACAGGGCUUUCAGUUCUCCGUAGUUCUGUAGAGAGAGAGAAAGAGGGGAGAGAGACGCGGUGUUGUGUCUUUGGUAUAAGUAAGAAAUGCAGCAGCACCUGAUGCAGAUGCAGCCCAUGAUGGCAGCCUAUUAUCCCAACG